AAAUUGAAGAGUUUGAUCAUGGCUCAGAUUGAACGCUGGCGGCAGGCCUAACACAUGCAAGUCGAGCGGCAGCGGGAAAGUAGCUUGCUACUUUUGCCGGCGAGCGGCGGACGGGUGAGUAAUGCCUGGGGAUCUGCCCAGUCGAGGGGGAUAACUACUGGAAACGGUAGCUAAUACCGCAUACGCCCUACGGGGGAAAGCAGGGGACCUUCGGGCCUUGCGCGAUUGGAUGAACCCAGGUGGGAUUAGCUAGUUGGUGAGGUAAUGGCUCACCAAGGCGACGAUCCCUAGCUGGUCUGAGAGGAUGAUCAGCCACACUGGAACUGAGACACGGUCCAGACUCCUACGGGAGGCAGCAGUGGGGAAUAUUGCACAAUGGGGGAAACCCUGAUGCAGCCAUGCCGCGUGUGUGAAGAAGGCCUUCGGGUUGUAAAGCACUUUCAGCGAGGAGGAAAGGUUGGUAGCUAAUAACUGCCAGCUGUGACGUUACUCGCAGAAGAAGCACCGGCUAACUCCGUGCC
rnacentral:rRNA from 1 species